CUGCAAACUGUCCUCCAUUGAUGAACCCUGUUCUUGUCGAUCUCCUCCAUUCUUUUGAGAGGGCUUUUCCGAUUCCUAGCAAUGAUUUUUCUGUGUUGCUUCUCCAAGAUUUCUGAGAUAAUUAGGUAGCAAGGUGGUUUAUUCGCCGAUCUGCAUGUCAGAGAACAUACUCGAUAGGCUUCAUGGGAGGGGCAUAGAUUGUAGCUUACCUGUCUGCUAGACAAGUUUCUCUUUUUUUUCUCCUCUUUCCUUGACGGAAUGCUAGACAGGUUUCUUGUUCUGACAAAUGAUUCAUUCUUAGAAUUUUAACGAAUCACAUCAACCAUUAAUGUUAUUCAAGAUUGGGUGCCAAUUAGAUAAAGAUAUGUUAGCUUAGGUCUUACAGUCUUUUCUGAAGGUGAUUCUGGGCAAUCAGAAAU
rnacentral:lncRNA from 1 species